UUCAGCUAUAAAUGGAUAACUGAAGGCAUCACAACAAUGUGUCUAUGUAUUCUACGUACAUACACUACAUUCCUAUUUCUGCUUUAAUUUACAGUAUGGAACAUUUUGCACACCAAACAAGUAUAAACAUACAGUAAAUAGAAUAUCAGAUAGGAUAAAAACAAUCCAACAAUUCCCUGUGUCUUUUUAGCAUCUACCAUGACUUCUUCAGACAGUGAGCUGAAGAAGAUAUCUACAGAGUUGAAAUAUAUUUCACUCAAGAGACAACAACUUCUGGAAAGGAAAAAAAUCCAGUGCAUAUUUCAAGAGUUGAGGAAUCGUGCUGAAUUUGAACAAACAGGUGACUUAUUCAAAAAAUUGAGACAGAUAUUUGCAACAUGACAAUAAAUAAGCUACCUCUAUACAGUAUAUUUGCCUCUGCUGUCUCUUUUCUUCUACCAGAGGAGGCAGACUCAAAACAGCUUGAGAUUGACAGCAUUGAUGACAAACUGAAACAACUAACAGAAAGGAAGGCAGAGCUCCAAAAUAGCCUUGAGAGCAUCCUCAAUGCCAAAGUGAAGAAUAGCAAGAAAGGCAAGUCCACAUUUACUGUACCAUAGCAAAUCAUUGCGCCAUCAUACUUUGGUUUUGUAACCACUUUUUUUCUUCUUUGUUAGAGGUCAGUUUCACCUCCAUUCAGCCGACUAGUGUUCCUGGCUUCAAAAUUUUCUAUGUUGAGCCUCCACCUGCUAUCCCUGCCCCUUCAGUGAUUCUGGACAUGGAAAAGCUUCCACCUUGUCCAUGCAGGACACAGUGUCCAGAGUGUCGGCAGUUCAUCACAACAGAGACUUUUACCUCUGUCAGCAGUGUCACCUGGCUGGUGUGUUUUAUGACAGCUUUGAUUGGAUGCGUGGCUGGUUGUUGCCUCAUUCCCUUCUGUCUCGAUAAGUUCAAAUCUACCACACACCAAUGUCCUAAGUGCCGAGCGUUUAUCAGAACUAUUAAAAAGCUCUGAGAGAAAAGAAGCUGGUGAGAACUUGAAGCUCAGACUGAAAGAGCGUCAGAAAUUGACCUAAUGGUAAAGUAUUUCAGCAGCAUGGCUCCCUUGCAGAGUUUAUCUGUUUGCGUUCACUAUCAUCCUAAUCGACUUUGAUUUUAAUGGAGCACGUCAGAAGGAAAAUGUGGUGUUAACUAAUAUAGUCUGCCUGUAUGUACAUGUAUAUUAUAUUAGGAUGCAUCUGUAUAUUUAAAUAGAAUAGAAAAUGUAUAUGACUCAAAUAUACUGUACAAAUCUGUAAAAUGAUUGAAAUCAUGUAAACAUUCAGUUCUCUAUUAAGGCAUACAAAUGCAGUGAGCUGUUUGUUCAACUAAAAUACACAAUUAAAGCCUUUCUUUGUAUAUUUGUUAAAUUUCAACCACUAAA
rnacentral:lncRNA from 1 species